AGUAAAAAUAUUAAUAUAAAAGAAAAAAAUAAACAAAAACAAAAAAUAAAAAAGGAAGAAAAUAAAAAAAUAUAAAAAGACGAAGUGAAGAAAAAUUUGAAAUAUAAAAUAGAAAAAACUUUUAGUUUAGAAUAUACAAAGAGAAACAAAAAAAAAAUAUAACAAAAUAAAAAAAGGACAAAUAAUCAAAGAUAAAAAAUAAAAUAAAAAGUCAAUACAAAAUAUAAAUAAAAGCAAAAGGAAGUACACAAAAAGAGAAGUCUUGAGAUUUUAAACUUGUAAAGAAGAAAUAAAAAAAAAUGUGAACAAAAAGAUAUAAGAAAAAGCAAGAAAAAAUAAAAAAAUUAAAAUACAAAAUAUAUAAAAAAAAUUAAAACAAAAAAGAGAAAGCAAAUGAACAAAUAAGUUAAAAGAAAAAGAAAAAAAGAAUUACUGAAGAAUUAUAAAAAUAGAAUAGAAAAUACCAAAAAAAUAAAAAAUGACAGCAAAAAUGAGACAAACCAAAAGAAAAAAAGAUUAAAAUAUAAAGUAAAUAUCCAUAACAUUAUAAAAUUUUUAUAAAAAAUAACAAAAAUUAACAAAAAAAGUAAAAGGAAAAAAAAAAAGA
rnacentral:lncRNA from 1 species